rnacentral:sRNA from 2 species
UGAGAGCGCACGCCUGAUAAGCGUGAGGUCGAUGGUUCGAGUCCAUUCAGGCCCACUCGACAUGCGAAAACAUGUUAAUAUGGGGAAUUAGCUCAGAUGGGAGAGCACCUGCUUUGCAAGCAGGGGGUCAGCGGUUCGAUCCCGCUAUUCUCCAUUGACCCUAAUGGGUCAAGGAAUUUGAUCUUUGAAAACUAGAUAAUAUCAAUUUUUUCCUUUAAUUUUAUUGUAAUAAAUUAAUUAAAGCCGAGAACACCGCGUAUUUUUUGAGUUUUGAAACAAGUUUAUAUCGCGUAACAUACUCAAUUAACCGUUAUCACGAAGUGAUAGCUAGGUUAAGUUAUGAAGGGCGCAUGGUGAAUGCCUUGGCACUAGGAGCCGAUGAAGGACGGGACUAACACCGAUAUGCUUCGGGGAGCUGUACGUAAGCUUUGAUCCGGAGAUUUCCGAAUGGGGAAACCCAAUCAUCUUAGUCGAUGAUUGUUGCUUGGGGAAUACAUACUCAAGUAACGGCAGACGUGGGGAACUGAAACAUCUAAGUACCCACAGGAAUAGAAAGAAAAAUCGAUUCCCUAAGUAGCGGCGAGCGAACGGGGAACAGCCCAAACCAACGAGCUUGCUUGUUGGGGUUGUAGGACUGAACAUUUGAGUUACCAAAGCUUUCGAUAGUUGAAUAGGUUGGGAAGCCUAACCGCAGAUGGUGAAAGUCCAGUAAGCGAAAUCGAAAGCCCUCAGUUCAGGAUCCUGAGUACGGCGGAACACGUGAAAUUCCGUCGGAAUCCGGGAGGACCAUCUCCCAAGGCUAAAUACUCCCUAGUGACCGAUAGUGAACCAGUACGGGGGG